CUGAUGCAGCCAUGCCGCGUGUGUGAAGAAGGCCUUCGGGUUGUAAAGCACUUUCAGYARGGAGGAAARSUWWKURUUUAAUACCCRCUAGCUGUGACGUUACUGACAGAAGAAGCACCGGCUAACUCCGUGCCAGCAGCCGCGGUAAUACGGAGGGUGCAAGCKUUAAUCGGAAUUACUGGGMGUAWAGSGUGCGUAGGKGGYUWGUUAAGUCWGAUGUGAAAUCCCCGGGCUCAACCUGGGAACUGCAUUUGGUACUGUCAAACUAGAGUAUGGGAGAGGGAGGUAGAAUUUCUGGUGUAGCGGUGAAAUGCGUAGAGAUUGGAAGGAAUACCGGUGGCGAAGGCAGCUUCCUGGAAUAAUACUGACGCUGAGGCACGAAAGCGUGGGUAGCAAACAGGAUUAGAUACCCUGGUAGUCCACGCCGUAAACGAUGGAUACUAGCUGUUGGGAGCAAUCUCAGUGGCUAAGCGAAAGCGAU
rnacentral:rRNA from 1 species